GAAAACCCUCAUGCGAAAGGAGCAGGCAGGGCCUGCUGCUGGGUUCCAGGAUACACGGGCAGGGCCCUGCACUUUGCUGGCUCUCGGCUUCUCAGGCAAACUAGCAGUUUGUCAAAUUAGCAGCGAGGAACCUGCUUCAGGUGGGGAUCCCACCAGUUACCUGGUGGAGGAGAUGUCUGCACAGAGGCAGCACGCAGGAGGUGACACAGGAGCACGCACCUGCUGUGCCAUGCAAAGCGCAGGGCCCCCAGGCUGCCCCGGGAGAGCAGAGCACAUGGGAUUGCGGAGUGUGGUCGGACUGUCAUCAGGAGCUUAUAGGGGAUUCUGCCGCUUUCAUUACGCCGAGGCUGAGCAGCUACCCCGCGUGUGAAAGUCUGCCAGGGUCAGGCUGAAAUCCUGCUUCUGUUAAACUCAGAGGAUUUUUGACGUUGAUUUCAGUGAGGCUACAGUUUUUACUUCUGGCCCUUUCAGUUAUUGGAGCAAAACAUAGUAGGAGCCCCUAACUACUACUGAGUGGAAAGAAAAAAAUCAUAUAUUGGUUUUGGCUCCAAAGUUCCAA